GCAAGUCGAGCGCACCUUCGGGUGAGCGGCGGACGGGUUAGUAACGCGUGGGAAUAUACCCAGUUCUACGGAAUAGCCUCGGGAAACUGAGAGUAAUACCGUAUACGCCCUUCGGGGGAAAGAUUUAUCGGAAUUGGAUUAGCCCGCGUUAGAUUAGAUAGUUGGUGGGGUAACGGCCUACCAAGUCUACGAUCUAUAGCUGUUCUGAGAGGAUGAUC
rnacentral:rRNA from 1 species